AUAUGGCUCAGAUUGAACGCUGGCGGCAGGCUUAACACAUGCAAGUCGAACGGUAACAGGAAGAAAGCUUGCUUUCUUUGCUGACGAGUGGCGGACGGGUGAGUAAUGCUUGGGUAUCUGGCUUAUGGAGGGGGAUAACUACGGGAAACUGUAGCUAAUACCGCGUAGUAUCGGAAGAUGAAAGUGUGGGACCGUAAGGCCACAUGCCAUAUGAUGAGCCCAAGUGGGAUUAGGUAGUUGGUG
rnacentral:rRNA from 1 species